AACGAGGCCGACCUGCGGCUGAGUUACCUGCGGAAGGAUCAUUACCGAGUUUACAACUCCCAAACCCAUGUGAACAUACCUAUCGUUGCUUCGGCGGGAUCGCCCCGGGCGCCUCGUGUGCCCCGGAUCCGGCGCCCGCCUAGGAACCUUAACUCUUGUUUUAUUUUGGAAUCUUCUGAGUAGUUUUUACAAAUAAAUAAAAACUUUCAGCAACGGAUCU
rnacentral:misc_RNA from 1 species